rnacentral:rRNA from 1 species
GGGGCCGGCCUUACACAUGCAGGUCGACGGGCUCUUCGGAGCUAGUGGCGGACGGGUGAGUAACGCGUGAGAAUCUGGCUACAGGAUGGGGACAACAGUUGGAAACGACUGCUAAUACCCGAUGUGCCUUAGGGUGAAAGAUUUAUCGCCUGUAGAUGAGCUCGCGUCAGAUUAGCUAGUUGGUGGGGUAAGGGCCUACCAAGGCGAUGAUCUGUAGCUGGUCUGAGAGGAUGAUCAGCCACACUGGGACUGAGACACGGCCCAGACUCCUACGGGAGGCAGCAGUGGGGAAUUUUCCGCAAUGGGGGCAACCCUGACGGAGCAAGACCGCGUGAGGGAUGAAGGUCUGUGGAUUGUAAACCUCUUUUGAUAGGGAAGAAGUUCUGACGGUACCUAUCGAAUCAGCAUCGGCUAACUCCGUGCCAGCAGCCGCGGUAAUA